AUGUCUUCCUUUUCCAGGCAGCUGUCCUUGCCCACCUUCCCGCAAGCGAAGAUGGACUCAAGCAGGGUGGCAUGCUUUUAUUCCAGCCCAGCACUUCGAGUCAUAGCCUUCAGUGUCAGACUCUUGAUCUCUGAAGAAGACUUAGCUUUGGGACCAAGGACCAGGUUUGAUCACUCAAGAGCUUUCGUGUGGCAGAGUUUUAUUAAGGUAUGAAAAGGGAGAGGGAGAGGUUCUGACAUGGACAUCAGAAGGGGGAUGGAGAGUGCUCCCCUCUGCAGUGUUGGCAAGGGAGUUAUAGACUUUUUUAAUUAGUUAUUACAAUCAAUCAAAAGAAUGUCUCAAGGUUGUGAAGACCUU
rnacentral:lncRNA from 1 species